AUUCAGUUUCGGAGAGAGUAUAUCGGCGUUCAUGCAAACCAAACAUAGCAAAUGUCAUCACAGUCUCAGUUCAAUAUACAUAGAUUCACAUACAUCACGCAUUGCCUAUAUUGCUUGUUUUGUGUAUUCUCAAUGCGAACACCAAGCUAUAGCAAUCGAUUUAUUACUUUUUUUGACGACUUUUUUCCGAUUCGCUAGAAUUUUGUUUGUGUUUUAUAGUGUUUAUUUUUAUUUUACAAAUAUUGGUAUUGCGUUACAAUACGUUGUUGCAUUUUAUUGACUUGUAGAUUCGCGUUUAGGUUUUGUAUUUAUUGAUCGCGGUGUACAAAAGCUAAAGUGUGUCUAUAGCCGACAAUCUCAAUACGGCUGGUUAUAUUUAUAACAAAACUUCCAUGAGCUUGCCGCAUUUUCACUUGAUAUUAUGCUAAAAAUCACGUUAGCAGCAGAAUGUUUUACUAUAAGUUGACGACGAUUUUGUUGAUCGUUCUAUUGGUGUUGUGCCGUAACUGUCGAUCUUUCCGCUCCGAUUACAAUAAUGGAUCGGUUCGUGUUAAUAAGUGUUGUGAACCAAAUGAGAUUCUCGUAGAUUUAAGGUGUGCGAAUGCGAAUGAAUCGAAUCAAGAAGUGUGGUCUCCGAUAUUUACCGGGUUUGAUGGAAAGGCAAAUGCUCAAGUGCCUGGAUUUUGGUUUGCUGUCGGUAUACCACAAUGCAGCCAAAAACAAAUGUGGCCCAUUUAUUACUAUCCAACGAGUCGCGAUCGCCUAGCGCUGUUACCUGAUGGCAGACUACGUCACUACAUUCAAAAUUCCGAUGAUGACGACAACGCAGCAUUCGAUAGUGAUGUUGAAAAGUCGGAAGAAACGAUGCUGUACGACUACGCACAAGGCCAAUAUUGUAUGGAUAGGGCGGUCGCAACCAAGGGCAUAACCUAUCCAUCGGAAUUCGCAAUGGUUUGUUCACCAGAAAAAGAGAGCAAUUGGAAGGAUACGGAUUUUUUGCUGAGAAAAGUGGUGAAUCCCGUGUGUCAUGGCAUUUCGAUUACAAUCCUUUUGGUCGUUGGAAUUUGCUAUUUUGUCGUUCCGUCACUGAGAGAUUUGGUUGGGAAUAUUAUCACAACGAUAACAUGUUGCCUUAUCGUCGGCCAAGUAGCCAAUCUUAUGCGCAUUUUUACCGAGUUCCGGAACCAUUUCAAUUUCUUGAUCUUGGACAUUCUAGCCGAAGUGAGUGUAAUGGCAACGUUCUUUUGGCUGAGCAGUUUGGGUUACUUCAUCUGGAAGACUUUUCGUCAACGAAACGUGUUUCUCCGGGUCACCGAUGGCAAAAAGUAUUGUUGGUACUCGUUUUAUGCAUGGGGCUCAACUCUUUGUAUGGCAUCACUGGGUACAUUCGCCCAUCUAUUCCUCGACAUAAACAUACCAAAGAAAAAUUCCCUGGUCGAUGAACAUGAAACAAUAGGUGUGUUGUGUUUGUUGGUGUUUUUUGUCACAAAUUGUAUUGUCAUCGGCUUGAGUAUAUAUUUCUAUGUCUCCACACAAAAUUAUCUAAGCAAUCGUCUAAAUGCUUCCUACGGACGAAUUCACCAUAAGCUCAAGUCCAAUUUUAUUAUGUUUGCGUUGCUGUUAAUUUUGCUAACAGUUUCAUAUGUACUAACGCUUAUUUCGUGGAUUGAAUACGAAGGCAUGUUUUAUAUAAAUCUAGCGAUCAGCGCAAUUCAGGCGCCGCUUGUUCUGUAUAUUUGUGUGCUGCGACAAAAGCAUGUCACCUAUUUACUGCAAAAAGCGUGCUGUUCGAAACAACCACUAUCCGGUGCUGAUUGGGGUGAUGAAAUGACCUACAUCAAUACGGCCCAUUAAAAUGUAAUGCGACAAAGUGAAAUUGAGAUUUAUAAGUUGAUUGGCAUAAUUUAAAAUGAUACCCACAUAUUUAUAACAAAGAAUCUCCUAUCGAUUAAUAUCCAAUUAAGUGUAUACUGAAUAUUGUAGUUUUAAGCAGCUUAUCCAUUUUUAAGACGCAUUUAUAAUAGAAUAUUUGACCCUUUUUGGACAAACAUUGUAAAAUCAUAUCAGGCACAAAUUUAAAAAAAAUUCGAAUUUCUUAUUAUGGACAACCGACUUCCCAAUGGGAAAGCAAAGAACCGUGUCCCAUUUGGGCCAUUUUGUACAGAGUUCUAAUGCAUAUCAUCUUAAAGGGGGUUGGGUAUCUAUAUAUAAUUUAUCUACACACAAUACCCUUUAAGAUGAUAUGCAUUAGAACUCUGUACAAAAUGGCCCAAGCUCCAUACAAAACGGGACACGGUUUUUUCUAAAAAUGACACGAAAUUGACAGGAUUAUCAGCAAGUGUAUUUAAGAAAGUAAAUCAAGACAAUUUUCUAAGCAAUCAAAAGGCCUUUUUAUGCCUAACCAAAUGAGGUGAAGUGUAUAUUUAGGAAGUCCAUUUAUUUAAAGAAGAACACUAAAUUAUUAUUAAUCGCAUUCCAAAUGUAAACUCAAGACUUGUAUCCAAAUGCACACACACAGCUGUCUUCAGUAGAAUCGUAUUUUAAAUUUUUGGAUAAUAUUUUUUCUCUAAUUUUAUUUUCGCAAGCAAUAUUUUUCUAAUUAUUGUAUUCGUAUUUACAAUUAAUAAAAAACGAGGAUUUUUUCUCAAUAAAUGAGUGGAAAUAACAGGAAAACACUG